AGUGAACGCUGGCGGCAGGCCUAACACAUGCAAGUCGAACAGCAGCACAGUGGAGCUUGCUCCAUGGGUGGCGAGUGGCGGACGGGUGAGGAAUACAUCGGAAUCUGCCCAGUCGUGGGGGAUAACAUAGGGAAACUUAUGCUAAUACCGCAUACGACCUACGGGUGAAAGCGGGGGAUCGCAAGACCUCGCGCGAUUGGAUGAGCCGAUGUCCGAUUAGCUAGUUGGCGGGGUAAUGGCCCACCAAGGCGACGAUCGGUAGCUGGUCUGAGAGGAUGAUCAGCCACACUGGAACUGAGACACGGUCCAGACUCCUACGGGAGGCAGCAGUGGGGAAUAUUGGACAAUGGGCGCAAGCCUGAUCCAGCCAUGCCGCGUGGGUGAAGAAGGCCUUCGGGUUGUAAAGCCCCUUUGUCCGGAAAGAAACGCCUCGGAUUAAUACUCUGGGGUAAUGACGGUACCGGAAGAAUAAGCACCGGCUAACUUCGUGCCAGCCGCCGCGGUAA
rnacentral:rRNA from 1 species